rnacentral:rRNA from 1 species
AUACGAAGGGUGCAAGCGUUAAUCGGAAUUACUGGGCGUAAAGGGUGCGUAGACGGCCUGAUAAGUCGACUGUGAAAGUCCUGGGCUCAACCUGGGGACGGCAGUUGAUACUGUUAGGCUUUGAGUUUGGGAGAGGGUGGUGGAAUUCCCGGUGUAGCGGUGAAAUGCGUAGAGAUCGGGAGGAACAUCCGUGGCGAAGGCGGCCACCUGGCCUGAAACUGACGUUGAGGCACGAAAGCGUGGGGAG